GAGAGAAGUAGACAAGGUGUGAUAUUGCUUUGGCUCAAGACCAAUAUUUAUAUUUAAUUUUCCAUCAAAAUUAAAUAAGCAGUUUUUUGGGUUUGAGCCGAAUCAAUAUCACUCUUGUAUGCUUUUCU
rnacentral:pre_miRNA from 1 species